rnacentral:tRNA from 2 species
GAGUUUGUAGCUCAGUAGGAAGAGCACCAGUUUGUGGCACUGGAUGCCACGGGUUCGAUCCCCGUCAGACUCC